AGGCAUAGACAACAACAAUAGUUUCCUUGUAGUAGCAUACAAUAUAAGCAACAAGUCAGCAGCACACACCAGCCAAGACAACAGUAGCAUAGGCAGUAACAGACACAGGAGAUCUUCAAAUUGUUGGAGGGAUUAAGAAGCUUAACAAUCAGAAUUACAGUACAUGGUCAACAUGCAUGAUGUCUUACAUGCAAGGCCAAGAUCUGUGGGAAGUAGUCAACGGCAAUGAAAACACAACCAAAUGGAGGUCUGCACAAGUAAAAGAUUAAAGUCGGUAAGGUAGUGUUUGCCUUGAAAACCACGAUUGAAGAGGAUGUGUCGGAGCACAUUCGAGAUGCUACAACGCCAAAAGAAGUAUGAGACACCCUUGCUUGUCUUUUCUCAAAGAAGAAUAAUGCUAGAUUGCAACUUCUCGAGAACGAGUUGUUGUUGAUGACACAAUGAGACAUGACGAUUCCUCAAUGCUUUAAUAAGGUGAAAUCAACAUGUCAUGAGAUUUUCAAAUUAGAACUUGAAGCAGCUAUUGAUCAAGAAAAUAUAGCAAAGCAAAUAGCAGGAGUCUUGUAGAAGGGUGAAGAGAAAGCACUCUACAUCAAUAAUGACAGGAGUGAACAGUGGCGCACUCGCGAAGAUAGAAACCACAAUUGGCACACUGAUGGUGAAUCCAAUAAAGAUAAUGAUAAGGAAAAGAAUUAUCAAAAGGAAGGGAAGCUUUCAUCAAGGUGGAUCUUCAAAGAAUUAUGGCAAUAGCAAAAGAUUUGAAGGUAGAUGCUAUAAAUGUGGAAAAAAUGGUCACAUGAAGAAAGAUUGUUGGUUUAAGAAGUCAACAAAAAACAAUGCUGCAAUUUUACGUUCGGAAAAGCAGGUUGAAGAUGAAUGGAAUGCUGCGGCAUUAUUUGCCAUAGAAAAGGAAGAAAUUAACAUUGAUAACUACAAUCAAAGAUUGAAUUAAUUAUGAAAGUGAUUGGAUUGUUGACUCUCUGUAUUCUGAUCAUAUGACAAGUGAUAAGCAAAAGCUACAACAUUUGACAAAACACGAAGGAAGCCACCACAACUUAUGAUUACACUUGAAGGAGAAGUAGGGAGAAAGAUUCACUGCUUGUGCACUCACAAUAGGGGAGAAUAUAGUUCAAAUGAAAUCUCUUUAUACUUGUGAGAAUUUCAUACAAGUCAUUAGUACAUUUGUGCAAAUACACCACAAUGAAAUGGAGUGGUUGAGCAAAAAUCGACAUCAUGCAGAAAUCUGUUGAAGCAUGUUACAUGAAAAGAAUGUAACAAGAAGAUUUUGGGCUGAAGCAACGAGGACUACUACUUAUGUAAUCAAUAGACUCUCUUAAAAGAUGUUAGAGUUUAUAUAACCUUGUGAGAAAUUAUGGAAUACAAAGCCUAUGAUUAUCUAUUUUUGAGUAUUUGGUUGUGUUUGUUA